CCUACGGGAGGCAGCAGUGAGGAAUAUUGGACAAUGGCCGAGAGUCUGAAGCAGCUAAGUCGCGUGAGGGAAGAAUGUCCUAUGGAUUGUAAACCUCUUUUGUAAGGGAGCAAAGUACCCCACGUGUGGAUGUUGGAGCGUACCUGACGAAAAAGCAUCGGCUAACUCCGUGCCAGCAGCCGCGGUAAUACGGAGGAUGCGAGCGUUAUCCGGAUUUAUUGGGGUUAACGGGUGCGUAGGCGGGUUAGAAAGUCAGCGGUAAAAUUUGGAGGCUCAACCUCUUCCCGCCGUUGAAACUGCGUUUCUUGAGUGGGCGAGAGGUACGCGGAAUGCGUGGUGUAGCGGUGAAAUGCAUAGAUAUCACGCAGAACGCCGAUUGCGAAGGCAGCGUACCGGCGCCCAACUGACGCUCAUGCACGAAAGCGUGGGUAUCGAACAGGAUUAGAUACCCCUGUAGUC
rnacentral:rRNA from 1 species